AGCGCAGGUGGUUUAUUAAAUCUGGUGUAAAAGGCAGUGGCUCAACCAUUGUAUGCAUUGGAAACUGGUAGACUUGAGUGCAGGAGAGGAGAGUGGAAUUCCAUGUGUAGCGGUGAAAUGCGUAGAUAUAUGGAGGAACACCGGUGGCGAAAGCGGCUCUCUGGCCUGUAACUGACACUGAGGCUCGAAAGCGUGGGAGCAAACA
rnacentral:rRNA from 1 species